rnacentral:rRNA from 1 species
GGUGUCUGCGUCUAUAUGUGCGUAUGAGCUCGCCUGACCGCUAGUGCAUCCUGGCCGCCUAGUGGCCGCUGGUGCAUUCUGGGGCUGCACUAGGCAGCCGAAAACCUCCGCAAAUGCUAUCAAGAGUGCUGACGGGGCUCCCCUUAGUGUCUGUCCGAAUGAGGAUGGCUUUCUUCUUCUCUGCAUGAAAAGCAGGCCGAGGAAUAAGGAGCAGGGCUAAGAUGUGGCUGUUAGCCUGCCUGCUGGUUAAUACCAGCAUCGUCCCGAGAUGAUAGGGCAUGGAUUAUAUGGGCCUUAAAGCUGCCCUGGUAGCCUGGCCGUUAUCAAGACGCCUCUGUUAAAGUCCCGCUGAUUCAAUCGUUGGACAUGCGGGACAGUACAUGUUUUGGCAUCGGGAGACGGGGAGAAACCCACCGGACUUUUCGCGAGUAGGGGUAAAAGUUUUAUAAUUCCGGGAAGACCACCAGUGGCGUAGGCGGUUGGCCUAGCACUCGCCUCGACGGUGAGGGACGAAAGCCUGGGGGAGCGAACCAGAUAAUACCCGGGUAGUCCCAGCGUGUAACGAUCGGACUUAUGUGUUGGAGCGGCUCUAGCCGCUUCAGUGCCGUAGGGAAGCCAUUAAGCUGCCGCUUGGUGAGUCCGGACGCCAGGAUGAACUAAGGAAUUGGUGGGCAGCCCAAAGGCCUGAAGCUUGCGUCUUAAUUGCAGUCACUCGGACCUUUCCUGGGGCACAGCAGAUUGAAGGCUAAAUUAAGCUUCCAGACUACUAGAGGAGUGUAUGCUUCCCUG